CAGCUGCACCGAGCAGAUUGCUCUCAGAGCAGCCCGUUGCAUCUGUGGGUAACCAUGUCCAGAGACAGCAGAGAAACCACCUCCACUCAGUGGAAAUGCGCUUUCUGAAUAAAGCUGCUUAUUGGGGGUUGAGGCUGAAGGUGAAACUGGAGUCCGACUCGGUCUCCACCCAAAGCCUUUAAAGGUCAAUUUGAUGCACACUGUCUGCCACCACCUGUUAGCAGCCGUAGACAGGAUCUGUCUCCAUGCGUGCCCCUAGGCUUCCGUUGGCAUUUCAGAAGAAUGGGAGUGGCUGUAAGCUGAUGCCUGGCUGUGUUCUUUUCAUCCCACUGCUGCGUCCUUGACCACAUGGGACCACAUGGGCGGAAGUUGUUUCUCUUUCUGGCUCAGUGGUCAGGAUUGAACCCAAGCAAGAGUGAACUCUAUGGGCUUCGUGUCUGUAGUACUCUGUGGGACAAGGUAAAGGGAGGAUUUUAAACUUUGAUGCUUAAAAGCGCACAAUUAAAGAUGCUGAAAAAUGA